GAGAAUAAGUCUAUUAAAGGUUUUUGGGAUGUUAAGAGGAAUGAGUAGAAUAAAAAUGGAAAUGCUAAAGCAACGGUUAAGUCUGAACAGUCAUGGAUAUGGUGACCAAGAACUAGAGAAAUAUCUUCAAAUAUUGUGAAGGUGAUUGGAGAAAGAGUAGAAGUGAGGAUGAAUGCAAGGUUUUCCCCAAGGCUUGAAUCUUUUGAGAACAAAUGUGGGUUAUUCUCUCCAAGGAGAUGUGGCUUCUCUCAGAUCAUUGAUUGCUUUGCUGCUAACAAACGAGGAUUUACAAAAAGAUAUGGUUUCUCUCAAUGAAGAUGUGGCUUCUCUCAAACAAUGUGGUCUCAAUGAAGAUGUGGCUUUU
rnacentral:lncRNA from 1 species